rnacentral:rRNA from 1 species
UACGAGGGGGGCGAGCGUUGUCCGGAAUUAUUGGGCGUAAAGAGCUCGUAGGCGGUCUGUCGCGUCGGCUGUGAAAACUCGGGGCUCAACUCCGAGCUUGCAGUCGAUACGGGCAGGCUAGAGUUCGGCAGGGGAGACUGGAAUUCCUGGUGUAGCGGUGAAAUGCGCAGAUAUCAGGAGGAACACCGGUGGCGAAGGCGGGUCUCUGGGCCGAUACUGACGCUGAGGAGCGAAAGCGUGGGGGAGCGAACAGG